rnacentral:rRNA from 1 species
GCGGAAGGUUGCUGCUAUUGGAGUUCGACUAAGCCAUGCAAGUUCUCUCUCUUCGGAGGGAUGCAGAAUGCUCAGUAACACGUCAAUAAUCUGGCCUUAGGUCAAGGAUACCCUCGGGAAACUGAAGUUAAACCUUGAUAAGAGAAUGUUAGUGGAAUGAUUAUUUCUCUUAAACUCGUGCCAAAGGAUAAGUUGGCGGUGGAUUAGAUUGUUGGUGAGGUAAAGGCUCACCAAGUCGAAGAUCCAUAUGGGCCUUGAGAGAGGUAGCCCAGAGAAGGACACUGAGAUACUGGUCCUAGCCCUACGGGGUGCAGCAGGCGCGAAACCUUUACAAUGCACGAAAGUGUGAUAAGGGAACCCCAAGUGCUCAUGUUUUACAUGGGCUUUUGCCAAGAGUAAAAAUCUUGGCGAAUAAAUGGUGGGUAAGACUGGUGCCAGCAGCCGCGGUAACACCAGCGCCAUGAGUAGCAAUCAGAAUUAUUGGGCCUAAAGCGUCCGUAGCCUGUUUGAUAAGUCUUUUGUGAAAUCGUUGGGCCUAACCUAACGGUGUGCAAAAGAGACUGGCAGACUUGGAACCGGGAAGAGUCAGAGGUAUUCUGGGGGGAGCGGUAAAAUGCUAUAAUCCUCGGAGGACCACCAGUGGCGAAAGCGUCUGACUAGAACAGCUUCGACGGUGAGGGACGAAAGCCAGGGGAGCAAAACGGAUUAGAUACCCGAGUAGUCCUAGCUGUAAACGCUGCGAGCUAGGUGUUGCACAUUCUUCGUGAAUGUGCAGUGUCGAAAUGAAGAUGUUAAGCUCACCGCCUGGGAAGUAUGGUCGCAAGGCUGAAACUUAAAGGAAUUGGCGGGGGAGCACCACAAGGGGUGCGGCGUGCGGUUUAAUCUAAUUCAACACAGAGAAUCUCACCAGAAGCGACGGCAGAAUGAAGGUCAGGUUAAAGGCCUUACCAAACGAGCCGAGAGGUAGUGCAUGGCCGUCGUCAGCUCGUACCGUAAGGUGUCCUGCUAAGCCAGGCAACGAGCGAGACCUGUAUCUACAAUUGCUAACGACUCUUUUAAGAGAAUCGAGCACAUUGUAGAGACUGCCCGGGAAACCGGGAGGAAGGUGCAGGCUACGGUAGGUCUGUAUGCUCCGAAUCUUCUGGGCUACACGCGCGCAACAAUGGUAAAGACAAUGUGAUGCAACUCUGAAAAGAGAAGCUAAUCCUCCAAACUUUAUCUUAGUUCAGAUUGAGGAUUGUAACUCAUCCUCAUGACACUGGAAUCCCUAGUAAUCAGACGUCAACAUCAUCUGGUGAAUAU